ACACUACUUAUGAAUGUAUUAACUCGAAACCUUUACAAAGAAGUCUUUGCUCUUAGAAAUUUCGAAGAACCAACAACACGAUUAUAUUGAAAUUUAAAUAUCCUCUUCAUUUUCUUGUUGAGAUAUUUCAUAGAACCAGGUAACAGCGAGAUUACUGUAGCAAGGUGAAACAGCAGCAGGCGCACGCAAUCCAUUACAGCUUAAACAGAUGGCAGAGGAAGAAAACUAUGCAAAUCCAUUGCUUUGCUUCUUCCAUGUUUUGUUUAAGGGAGCAGCAAUUGCGUUUUACAUCCUGUUCUCCCUGUUUGUGGAUUCUUUUGUGAUUAUUUUUGUGGUAACGGUCUUAUUGGCUGCUCUUGAUUUUUGGGUGGUCAAGAAUGUCAGUGGAAGAAAAUUAGUUGGCCUGAGAUGGUGGAAUGAAAUCAAUGAGCAAGGGGAAAGCAUCUGGAGAUUUGAGUCUCUUGAUCAGGACUCAUUGGCUCGCAUGAAUACGAAGGAUUCUUGGCUCUUUUGGUGGACUCUUUAUCUCAACGCUGCUAUUUGGCUAGCACUGGGGAUUGUUUCUUUAAUCAAGUUUAACAUUGAUUAUCUUCUCGUGGUGGGUGUUUGUUUGACUCUUGGCAUUGCAAACAUAGUUGGAUUUACCAAAUGCCGAAAAGAUGCAAAGAAACAGGUACAGAAUUUUGCAUCUAGGACAUUUGCUUCACAUGUAUCAUCGACACUGCAGUCAGCUUUCAAUGCUGUUUGAUAGAUGUAUGAUUGUGGAAUCACAGCUUGGAAUUCACAUUGUUUUUAUCUUCUCUGUAGUCACUGCAGACUGCUAAAAAUUUGUGAUGUGUACCUUGAAAGCUUUGUUGUCCUGGAAGAUUCUAUAAAUAACUUACUAUCUGAAUCCCCUUGUUGAAUCUUCUUGUUGACACAAUCUUUUUGUGAUAGAAAUUUAGAAAUGUGAUUAUUUUGCCAAUUUGGGGUGAGAAACAAAUUAUUUUAUGUAUGUUUUAAUUUUUUAACACUUUUUGCAGAAUAUUAUAUUUGGCCUGACAAGACUGCCUCGAUCCUUUUAAACUGGUUAUAGCUUACAAUUACUAGCGUUCUUUCCAUAAGCUUAACUCUGUACUGUUUCCUACUUAGUGAUAGGAAGUUUGAAUAUAUGCAUAGAAAUUAUUUUUGCA